rnacentral:rRNA from 1 species
UGGGGAAUUUUGCACAAUGGGGGAAACCCUGAUGCAGCGACGCCGCGUGAUUUAGAAGGCCUUCGGGUUGUAAAAAUCUUUUUUACGGGAUGAAAAUGACAGUACCGUAAGAAUAAGGUCCGGCUAAAUACGUGCCAGCAGCCGCGGUAAUACGUAUGGACCGAGCGUUGUCCGGAAUCAUUGGGCGUAAAGGGUACGUAGGCGGCCUAGUAAGUUAGAAGUGAAAUAAUAUAGCUCAACUAUAUAAAGCUUUUAAAACUGCUAGGUUUGAGAGAUGGAAGGGAAAGUGGAAUUCCUAGUGUAGCGGUGAAAUGCGCAGAUAUUAGGAAGAAUACCGGUGGCGAAGGCGACUUUCUGGUCAUCAUCUGACGCUGAGGUACGAAAGCGUGGGUAGCAAACAGG